CUGCAACUCGACUACAUGAAGCUGGAAUCGCUAGUAAUCGCGAAUCAGAAUGUCGCGGUGAAUACGUUCCCGGGUCUUGUACACACCGCCCGUCACACCAUGGGAGUCGGAUAUGCCCGAAGUCAGUGACCCAACCUUUUGGAGGGAGCUGCCGAAGGUGGAGCCGAUAACUGGGGUGAAGUCGUAACAAGGUACC
rnacentral:rRNA from 1 species